rnacentral:rRNA from 1 species
CCCAGCUUAGGAGCGCCGAUGUCAGAUUAGCUAGUUGGUGAGGUAAAGGCUCACCAAGGCGACGAUCUGUAGCUGGUCUGAGAGGACGACCAGCCACACUGGAACUGAGACACGGUCCAGACUCCUACGGGAGGCAGCAGUGGGGAAUUUUGGACAAUGGGCGCAAGCCUGAUCCAGCCAUUCCGCGUGAGUGAAGAAGGCCUUCGGGUUGUAAAGCUCUUUCGCAUGAGAAGAAAACUUAUCGCCUAAUACUAGGUGAUGUUGACGGUACCUUGAUAAGAAGCACCGGCUAACUACGUGCCAGCAGCCGCGGUAAUACGUAGGGUGCGAGCGUUAAUCGGAAUUACUGGGCGUAAAGCGUGCGCAGGCGGUUUUGUAAGUCAGAUGUGAAAUCCCCGGGCUCAACCUGGGAACUGCGUUUGAAACACAAAGGCUGGAA